rnacentral:tRNA from 1 species
GGUGCCAUGGCUUAGUUGGUUAAAGCGCCUGUCUAGAAAACAGGAGAUCCUGAGUUCGAAUCUCAGUGGUGCCU